rnacentral:lncRNA from 1 species
CUGGUGAGGUGCUGGACUUCCUUUACAUUUUUUGAUGGAGACAUCUCUAGAAUCACCUUAUCUUCUCCGGAUUUGCCUCAAUUUCUCGUUGGAAGACCAUAAAUUCGAGAAAUUUUUCAGAACUGACUCUGAAGAUACAUUUUGUGGGAUUCAACCGCAUCUAAAAUCGAUGCAGGGUGCUGAAGAUUUCUUGGACGUCGGCUAUGUG